rnacentral:rRNA from 1 species
UAAGGUGGCUAUAGCGGAGGGGCUCCACCUCUUCCCAUUCCGAACAGAGAAGUUAAGCCCUCCUGCGCCGAUGGUACUGCAGAGCAAAAUGUGGGAGAGUAGGUCGCUGCCGACU